CACAGACUCUCUGGAGCCUCCCAUGUAAAUCCUGGCAGGACCCAGCCAGCACUUAGCUCAUUCACGUGAGAUCACCGUCUUGUUCGGGGCACUUGCACGGGUAGGUCCCUCCUGCAGCAGCAUCGUGACGAUGUGGCCAUGCGCACGUGGCCAGCCUCUUCCAGCCGGCUAGCGGAAACCCACCGGCUCCAACCCAGGGGACGGCAGGUCCGACCCUGGGGACAGCAACGCUUGUAUUUACUGCCCCGGCCAAGGCUGUGGCAAGUGGGAGAGCAACGCUGGGAGCAGCGGAGGUGCGAUGCCCCGGGCUCCUCUGCCGGCAGCCGCGUGCCCCGGCACGACGCCGGGGUGGUGCGAAGCACGGCCUCCAGGCUCCCUGCAGUUUCCCCUUGGGUCAUUAAGGAAGAUGUUAAUGAAUGACCUCCGCAGUACCCCAUUAGAUACUCCACCUCCUGCCUCCUCCUCCAGCAAGCUCUGCACGAGUGGGGUGAUGCCAGCCGCCUGCCAGGGAUGCAGCUUUCGGCAUCGCUGCCCUCUCCGCCUCGGCAGCCCGCCAGCUCCGCUCCUCUGCUCUGCCCCUCGUCCAGGGCACGGCCGAAGAAAUGAAUUUGCUCCCGACGUGAGGUCCUGAUGAAAGAGAGCAAGUCCAUUGAAGAUGCUUAAGCAUUAAGCCUGUGCUCAAGUUCCAUUAAAGUGCCUGAUUAAAGCGGUGAAUGGCUGGACUCGGACAAUGCUAAGUGCUUUCCUGAAUCAGGUUCCCUGACUUCCCAGUGCCUGUGGCUGCACACCCAGCUCCUGCUUUCUGCCUCUCUUCUUCCCUGCAGCCCCUGGCCGGACCCUUCUUCAGCUGCCUUCUACAUUUUCUCUUUCUUGCAGGGAUUCUUUUUUUGGUUUUUUCCUCUUUUUUUUUUUUCUUUUUAACCCUCAAAUCCAUGAGUGGCCACUUCUGAAGUGAUAAAAAUCUUAUUCCUUGCCUAUUUUUUUUUUUUUUCCCAGGCAAUUGUAGCUAACAACACCUUAAUUAUCGCGUCUCUGAAAACUGGUUAAAGAUUUUAAUACUUCCUUCCCCGGACCAUUAUGCAGUAGACUUCUCAGCCCCAUAAAAUGUGCCUUCUGGAACCCGAUCGCCUCGUGCUGCUGCAUUUCCCUGCUCGGUCCUUGCCCUGACGGUUCAAGUGCCUCCAGGUCCCCCCUUGCCACUCCCCCCCGCUCCUCCCCGGCACCCCGGGCAGGUGGGAAGCGCCAGAGGCGAUGGCAGGGCUGCAGGCAGCUGUAGCAGAUUUUCAGUUAGAAUAUGGGCUUUUAAUUUAAAUCAUAUUACACAGCUAGCGAAGAUGUUGCAUCAUUUUAAUCAGCCAGCACAUCUGCAGAAGGUGCAAGUUUCCAGGAGCCGGAGCGCAAGAAUGAUGGUAUAAAUCACGGCGAAGGCAAAUCCUUGACAUCACCUUCAUUUCUGAAUUUGAUCCUCUGAUUUAGCAGCGCGGCGCUGGCUUUCUGGCACCCGUUUUGCCUAGCUGUUUGCUAUUUAAUAGGUACAAGGCUUGUCAGACAUCUCCACGCAUCCUAUGUCCUGGCGUUUCAAAAAUCCCUGGGCUGGUUUUUUUGGGGUUUUUUUUGAAAGAGGGUUGGAUUAAUCAUGAAUUUUGGCCCCAACCUGCGCGGGGCCGUCUCCCUGGAAAGGCUCCGCUCAGGGAGAGGGGCUGCACCUCUCUCCAAAGCCGUUUGGGAUCCACGUGCUGCGGGAGUUCAGCCUGGUGAGAUCUCAUCCGCUUCAUCCCACAAAACAGUUAGGGGAAAAAUCUACCAGGUCCCACGGUGCCCAUGCCUUUGGGACGAGUGAAGUUGAUUCCCCACCGAUUUUUAUUUAGGUGAGUUUUAAAUAACUCAAACGCUUCCCCGGGGGAACCAUCCCGCGGCCGAACGGAUUUCAGCACUAAGCAGUUUUUCCUGGUGUUCAGCCUAAAUUUUCUUUUGCUCUGUUUUAUCCCGUUACUCUUUUGCUAUAAAAUUUCUCGGGUAUUUUAAAU